rnacentral:rRNA from 14 species
GUUUGAAUUUAAAAAUUAAAAAAAUACGUCCGGUCUCGUCUGAUCUCGGAAGCCAGGCAGGGUCGUGCCCAGUUAGUUCUUGGAUGGGAGACCGCCUGGGAAUUCCAGGUGCCGUAAGCU